rnacentral:rRNA from 1 species
CCUACGGGGGGCUGCAGUGGGGAAUAUUGGACAAUGGGGGCAACCCUGAUCCAGCCAUGCCGCGUGUGUGAAGAAGGCCCUCGGGUUGUAAAGCACUUUCAGUGAGGAAGAACGCCUGGUGGUUAAUACCCAUCAGGAAAGACAUCACUCACAGAAGAAGCACCGGCUAACUCCGUGCCAGCAGCCGCGGUAAUACGGAGGGUGCGAGCGUUAAUCGGAAUUACUGGGCGUAAAGCGCGCGUAGGUGGCUUGAUAAGCCGGUUGUGAAAGCCCCGGGCUCAACCUGGGAACAGCAUCCGGAACUGUGAAGCUUGAGUGCAGGAGAGGAAGGUAGAAUUCCCGGUGUAGCGGUGAAAUGCGUAGAGAUCGGGAGGAAUACCAGUGGCGAAGGCGGCCUUCUGGACUGACACUGACACUGAGGUGCGAAAGCGUGGGUAGCAAACAGGAUUAGAUACCCUUGUAGUC